rnacentral:rRNA from 1 species
UACGUAGGGUGCAAGCGUUAAUCGGAAUUACUGGGCGUAAAGCGUGCGCAGGCGGUUUUGUAAGUCUGACGUGAAAUCCCCGGGCUCAACCUGGGAAUUGCGUUGGAGACUGCAAGGCUGGAGUCUGGCAGAGGGGGGUAGAAUUCCACGUGUAGCAGUGAAAUGUGUAGAGAUGUGGAGGAACACCGAUGGCGAAGGCAGCCCCCUGGGUCAAGACUGACGCUCAUGCACGAAAGCGUGGGGAGCAAACAGG